ensembl:lncRNA
CCCCUCCUGUCUCCCUUCUCCCUCGAAAGCCACAGGCCACACUAGUCAGAUCUCUCACAUUCAGCCACUGGUGGCACUUGGUUUGCUAGUCAUUCCCACCUAUGAUGGAGCCGUCUCUGGAACUCCCCUUAUCCAGUCCAACUGGCCACGGUUCUCCCUCUGCAGGAAGUGACAGGGUGGAUGUCACAGGGUUGGGUACAUGUCCCCUUCUCACUGAGUGAACUCUCUCCCAUAGAAAAACGACUGGGAGCCAGGCAGCAGUGGCACAGGCACCACGCCUAUAAUCCCAGCAUUCUAGAGGCAGAGGCAGGCAAAUCUCUGAGUGAGGCCAGCCUGGUCUACAGAGCUUGUCCCGGGUCAGCCAGGGCUAUGAAGAGGAAAGAAAGAAGAUUAGUCCUAUAUCACUAAUCCCUCCUUGCACGUCUGUUAAGGAAUUCUAAUACAUUGCCAACUCAUACAAACUUACUUUCCUGCUGUUUACAGGAUUCUCACCACCAAUCUCCCAAGGAGCACAGGCAAGGCUGGGACCUGGCUGAGGUGCAUGCAGAUGAAGUCCACCAAGAAAAAGUCAUGUAAGCCCUGGGGAAUCUACAAAGUCAUAAGACUGGGGUCCACCUCUCACAGUCAGACAGACUCCAGGUCCAGCAGAUACAGAAGAGCAGAUGGGAGACCCGGCCUUGUGGGAUGGAGUAACUACUGGAUUCCUGGACUUUCCAUCCACAGCUGGCUGUUGUUGGACGAGCUCGACUGCAACCUGUGAGUCAUUCCAACGAAUUCCCUUUACACGUAUAAUGGAAUCCUCACCUCUGUGACUCUAGAGAACCCCGUUCCAGCUGUCCUCAAACUUAGACCAGGCUGGCCUUGAACUUAUUCAUCUACUUGCUGGGAUUGAUGUUGUGCACCACAGUGGCAUGGCUUAGUCAUGGUGUUUAAUCACAGCAACAGAAAAGUAACUAGGAAGUUGGUAGCUGGGUGGUGGCAGUGUAUGCUUUUAGUCCCAGCAUUUGGGAGGAAGGCAGAGGCAGGCAGCUCUCUGAGAUCUCUGAGGCUGGUCUACAGAACAAAUUCCAGGACAGCCAUGGCCACACAGUGAAACUCUGUCUUGAAAAAACAAAACAAAACAGCCACAAAAAAAAAAAAAAAAAGAAGAAGAAGAAGAAGAAGAAGUUAGAACUAGAGUGUGGGCUGUUGCUGUAAUAGACCUGACCUUGUUUUUUUGAAGAGCGUGGAAGACUUAGUAAUUCCGGACUAAAGGUAGCAGUUGACCCCUUGACCCCUGAAAGAAAGUAUAAAGAUCACCGUAGUCCAGCGAGCAAUGUGGGCUGUGACGGCCCAGCUCCAAAGGUCUCAGAGGGAACAGCAGUGGCGACUAGGCAGGCGUCAUCCCUGGACGGCUUUGGCAGAGGAUGUGCUUGCCUUCUGCCCUUGUCUGGAGAACUUGCCUGAGUCUAAACUUAAAAGCAGAGGUUAACAUUUCUUUGGUGGAGGAAUUCCAAACAUAUGUUGAGUCUAUGGUUAUUGUUGCCAAUGCUUAUGUAGGUCUUCAAUGAGAAGGGGCAAUGAGACAGAAACAAACAUAACAUGUAUAUAUUGAAGAGAAGGAAAAGACCCUGGAGGCUUAGUAUUACACAGAAGGCUGGAACUGAGAUCAGCACCAGGAAGGACAGGCCUGCUCUGCCCAAGAGAACAAAGGGAAUGAGGUCCCCCAAGCAAAUCCACCCAGGUAAGCUCUCUUUCUGCAAGGCAAAGGUAGCCUGUGGCAGGGGAAUUCCUGUUUGAAGUCCUUAAUUCACUGUGUGAAGCUGUGAAAGUGAAGUCUGGGCUGCACUGAAAAUUCCAAGCUAUGGGAGAUGCCAGAUUCAUGGGACACCCGCCAAGGAGCGCCGCACACAGGAAAUGAAACCAUCCUGAGUUCUGUGCUGCAGGGCAGCGAGGCUGGACACACAGAGCCAUCUCAGCCACUGACAUCAGACAUAGAACUACACACAGGCUUUAGAGCUCACGUGUUGCUUUUGGUCUUUUAGUCGUUUUUCACCAAGCCCCCAUUCCUUCUUUUUGGAAUGGUAAUAUAUUCUGUGCCACUGUAUGUGAGAACUGUGUAAUUUGCCUUUUGAUUUUACAGGCGAUUACAAUUAAGAGAUUGUUUUGAGUCUCAGAAGCGUCUGUGGGCUUUUGAGCAGUGUUGAGACUGAGAAAGACUAUGGGAACUUUUGAUCUGAAUGUAGACUGCAGUUUGCUAUGGUUAUGGAGUCAAGUGGAAUGUGGUGGUUUGAAUGACAAUGGCUUUUUUUUUUUCUUUUUUUCGGAGCUGGGGACCGAACCCAGGGUCUUGCGCUUGCUAGGCAAGUGCUCUACCACUGAGCCAAAUCCCCAACCCCGACAAUGGCUUCUUAAAAGAUGUUUGAGCAUUUGGUCCCUGAUUCCGGGUGCUGUUUGGGUAGGCUCAGGAGGCUGUCUUUCUGGAAGCAUGUCACUACUUCCUGCUUAUUAAGGGUGCUGAGUUCCUGGGGGCAAGUUUGAUCUUCACAGUCAGGAUAUCUAAUUUCUUCUUUGCACACAACUACUUAAGAAACCACAACCAACAGCAAACAAAGCACCAGCCUACCAACCAACCAUCUACCCCUCUGAGGCCCUAGCACUUACACCCCCUCUGAAAAGCCCCCAGAAUUCAAAACCCACACAACUGCAGACACUAUCUGUAGCUGGCAAAAAUGAUGCUUCUGCCAGAACAUGAGGCAAAUCAUAGUCGGCCCCUGUGGCUGGUCGGACGCACACCCCUGAAGCACAGUCUGAAGCAACCCUAUACCUCGGAUUAAAAUGAAAACAUACUCUUGUAGUAUUUCUGCCUUUCGUUUUGCUUUUCUAAAGAAGCCGAGUUCUCACUGGUGUUGAGUGACAGUUCACUGCAGCCCUAGGUGUCCUAUUUGUUUCUACGUCUGAUACUCACCUAGCUUACUGCUGACUUCUGCUCUGACAGCGCUGCCAUGGACUGAUUCCUGUGCUGUGAAUGCAUUUGUCUGCUCCAGCUGCUUUCUUUGCAAAUCCCUUAAUUUUUUUUUUUAAGAACUCUUAACUGCUGAGUCAUUUUUCCUAUCCCUUGCUCUAUAUCCUUUUUAAAAAAAUUUAUUUAGGGGUUGGGGAUUUGGCUCAGUGGCAGAGCGCUUGCCUAGGAAGCGCAAGGCCCUGGGUUCGGUCCCCAGCUCUGAAAAAAAAAAUUAUUUAUUUUAUGCAUAUGAGUAUACUGUAGCCAUCUUCAGAGACAUUGGACAUCCAAAGGGCAUUGGAUUCCAUCACAGAUGGUUGUGAGCUACCAUUGUGGUUGCUGGGAUUUGAACUCAGGACUUCUGGAAGAGAAGUCAGUGCUCUUAACCUCUGAGCCAUCUCUCCAGCACCAAUCCUUGGAAUUUUAAACCGAGUCAGUCUAUAGAACACUGAAAGGUCUCAAUUGAAAUACCUUUCAGACCUGCCACAGUUGUCCGGUAUAGGGUCAUCUUUCCCUUCACUGCUACUCCAGCUGCACUCUGCUUCAGAAAUUGUCUCUGUGUCCCUUGAAGAUAUCCUUGGUUGAAAUAGGGUCUCACCACAUAGCCCCACAGGCCUCCCAAGUCACUGUCCUCCUCUCCCUUGGUGUGCACCACACCCAGCUUACAGUCCUGUUUUCCUGAGGGCCAGGCAGUCUGGCUGAGUGCUUAGCUUCAAAACUAGAGACCAAAGAGCAAGCUUGUACAUUCUGAAUUUGGAUAUGGACAAGCACUAGAAUACCUUACAUGUCUGUGAACUCCCUUCAGAGUUAAUCAAAACUUUAAUUACUUCCAUUAUAAGUGUUUUCCUUUUAUGUGUAGGAGUGGUUUUGCCUUCAUGUAUGUCUGUGUACCACAUGCAUGUCUAGUGCCCUUGUGGCCAGGUGACUUCAAAUCUUUGGAACUGGAGUUCCAUUGUUAUGAGCCACCAUGUAUGUGUACUGGGAAUAGAAUCUGGGUUCUCUUGAAGAGCAGCCAGUGCUCUUAACAUCUGUGUCAUCUCUCUAGCCCCCACACUCCUACUUUCAGAGACAGUUUCAUAGUCAAAGCCCAGGCUGGCCUCAAAUGCAACAUGAAGCCAUAUUGCACCUGAAUUCUUGGUUCUCUUGUCUCCAUUUUCUGACCAUUGGGAUCACAGAAGUGAGUUAAUAGGUCCAGCUAGUGUCACUUUUAAACAGGAACACACUUGAGUCUCAGGCAAGAGGAUUACAAGUUCAAGCCUAGCCUGGGAUACAGAAGGAGACCCUCUCAAAAAAGCAGAACCAGAUGGCCAGAUGGUUCAGCAGGUACAGCCACUUACUCAGCCAAGCCUAAGAUGAUUCCCCAGGAUGGUGGAAGAAGAGAAUUGACUCUUGGCAGUGGUCCCCCUGCAUAGGUGUAACACACAAACACUAUUAUAUAUACACAAACAACCAAACUUAAGUAAAUGAACAAGUAGAAUAAAGUUGUGUGCAUAGGACUCCACAAUAUUGUAGUCAUGCACUCUGAAGGCAGAGGAAGGUGGACCUCUAUGUGUUUGAGGGCAGCUUGGUCUAUAAAAUGAGUUUCAGAUCAGCCAGAACUACACAAAGAAACCCUUUCUUGAAAAAAACAAAUCAAGAAAAUGGGUUGGAGAGAUGGCUUGACUGUUAUGAAUGCUAGCUGCUUGUCCAGAAUUCAACUCCCCAUACCUAUAUGACGACCUUGAACUCAAGAAAUCCUCCUGAGUGCUACUAUUAAAGGCUAUUGCUUUUUCUUUUUUCUUUUUUUUUCUUUUUUCUUUUUUUUUCAGAGCUGGGGACCGAACCCAGGGCCUGGCGUUUGCUAGGCAAGCGCUCUACCACUGAGCUAAAUCCCCAACCCCGGCUAUUGCUAAGCAUAGAAAUUAACCAUGAAGAAAAUAAAAUGAGAGGCUGGAGAGAUGGCUCAGCGGUUAAGAGCACUGUCUGUUCUUCCAGAGGUCCUGAGUUCAAUUCCCAGCAACCACAUGGUGGCUCACAACCACUUAUAAUGGGAUCUGAUGCCCUCUUCUGGUGUGUCUGAAGACAGGGACAGUUUACUUAUAGAUAAUAAAUAAAUCUUAAAGGGGAGAAAAAGAGAAGUGCCAGGUCUGGUGGGUGGUGCGUGCCUGUAAUUCUAGUGCUUGAGGAGGUGGAGGCAGCAUGAGGAGCUCAAGGCCAGAGCUGUGAGAUGAGGCAGCAGUUAAGAGCACUUGUUGUCCAAGAAGGACCAAGAUUCAAUCCCCAGUAUGUACUCACAACUGUAUAUAAUUCUAGCUCCAGGGACCUGACAACUACUUCUGGCCUCUGUAGACACUAGGUACACAUAGGUGCACAGAUAUACUACAGGCAAAACAUUAAUAUCAAAAAAGAAAAAGUUUCAAGGCUUGCCUAGACUACAUAUAGUCUCAAAAUCUGGGGAGAAAUCUAAAAUAGCAAAGUCAACAGGUAAAUUGAAUACUGUCCAAGAUGUUUUCCUGAUUUGAUCCAUGCAAAACUACUUGCCAGCUUAAUCUAUACUUGUUCUGAUAAAAGGCAUACUCUACCACUGAAUAAACAGGAUAGCAGGUCUGCAGGGCAGGAUGAUGCACUUAAUUCCAGCUCUUGGGCAGCAGACUCAGGUGGAUCUCUGUGAGUUUGAGGCUAGCCUGGUCUCCAUAGCAAGUUUCAAACUAGCCAGAACUGAAUAGUGAGAUCCAGGCCAGCCACAGUGAGAUCCUAUAUAAGGGGAGGAAAAAACCAAAAUCAACUAUUAAGUAAUAAAAGACAGUAAGUUGGCAUACACGAAACCCUGCACCAGGGAGACACUGAUAGGAACAAAACGUUUGAGACCAGUUCAGGCUUCAUAAACCCUGCUGAAAAGCACCGAACUAGGAGCCAAUGUUGAUGGAUGACCUUGUUUAUUUUGCUUAUCUGGUGAGAAGUGAGUCUUCAAAAUGGGCUGCUUUCCAAUUUGGACCAUGAACUCCAAACACGUGCCAGGGAGAGAGUGUAUUUGUUCGUGUUCAUUGUACUGGUGUAAUGAAAAGUUCUCUGUCACAUAAAGAAUCAAGAAACCAGCCAUGCUUUUAUUUUCUGGGUGGAUGGGUGGGAGAGAACUAGUCUGGAACUCACUGUGUAGACCAAGCUGGCCUGAACUCCAGAAACCCUCCAGCCUCCCGAGCGUUGGAAAAAAAUGCCUGGUUCCCCACCUCCCUCCAGCACUCCCUAGAAGUAUAACAAAUUAAAAUUAACAGGUGUCCCGCAGCUCUCAGGAGUACAUGUGAUUUUCAUUACCUGUUUCCCUUCCGUUUCAUGUCUGGAUUUUUAAGGUUACGACACAAAACGAAAGUUAUUUCUCCCGAAGCCACUGUAAUACAGUGCGCUAAACUCGGAGCCCGCCCUCCCACUCCACCUGCCGGAGACCACAGCCCUUAUACUUGAUAUCCUUCGUUUCUUGGUUUGACCUAAAACUCACGGUGACCUUGGCGCUUCCCUUCCUCCUCGGUGAGGCGUUCCUGUUUUCCAGUGGCUGGGGUGCAAAGCAGGGAUCGUUCCGUCCGCUCCGAAUGCGGAGGGGACGAUGCUGAGCGAUGGUUCCGCAUCCUGUUGUGCAGACAAAGACUGGCCACCUCCAGUUCGCCUCUCAGGAGGGCUACAAGAGCGGUGCUUCAACGCAAGGCCCUGGGUUCGGUCCCCAGCUCCGAAAAAAAGAAUUAAAAAAAAAAAAAAAAGAGCGGUGCUUCUUCUUGAGUUCCAGCCCCUCGUGGAUGCACAGCCAAGGUGUCAGCGUCGCGCAUGCCUUGCAGACUCGAGCCCUCGGCGGAGGCGGCAGCUCCCAUACGUGCCCUUAGGUCCCAGCAGCGCGCGGGUCACAUGGGGACACUCACUGCCCUGCAGAUCCGCGCCUGGGGCCUCUGCAGCGGCGACGGCUGCGCCUAGAUUCUCCGAGCUACUCGCCGCACGGGUCUCAACGCAGACAACCGCUGCCCUUCUUAGUGUCCCUAUGGCCGCUCCAAUCCUCUGAUUCCUCAAAGCUAGAGGUCCUCAUCCGGUGGAGGGUCUUACCAUUCCGCAACCCCAAAGCAGUUAGCAGGAAGAGCCGGUGUUCCAGGACUUGGCAUGUGAGCUUCCGUUAGGAAGCCCCGCCCCCUAGUCCGGAGUGGGCGUGACCUUCGGAUAGCGUCCGUUGCCACGCCCAACCGUCUCCCAACG